GGUUGAUCCUGCCAGUAGUCAUAUGCUUGUCUAAAAGAUUAAGCCAUGCAUGUCUAAGUAUAAACUGUUUAUACAAGUGAAACUGCGAAUGGCUCAUUAAAUCAGUUAUAAUUUAUUUGAUAGUACCCCUUUACUACUUGGAUAACCGUGGUAAUUCUAGAGCUAAUACAUGCCUUGAAAAGUCCUGACCGUUUCCGGAAGGGAUGCAGUUAUUAGAUACAAAACCAACCCGGGCAACCGGUCCUUUGGUGAUUCAUGAUAACUUUGCGAAUCGCAUAGCCUCUUGCGCUGG
rnacentral:rRNA from 1 species